rnacentral:rRNA from 1 species
CUGGGGCGGUCUCCUCCCAAAGAGUAACGGAGGAGCACAAAGGUACCCUCAGCACGGUCGGACAUCGUGCAAUGAGCGUAAAGGUAGAAGGGUGCUUGACUGCGAGACCCACAAGUCGAGCAGGUGCGAAAGCAGGUCUUAGUGAUCCGGUGGUUCUGUAUGGAAGGGCCAUCGCUCAACGGAUAAAAGGUACUCCGGGGAUAACAGGCUGAUACCGCCCAAGAGUUCACAUCGACGGCGGUGUUUGGCACCUCGAUGUCGGCUCAUCACAUCCUGGGGCUGAAGCCGGUCCCAAGGGUAUGGCUGUUCGCCAUUUAAAGCGGUACGUGAGUUGGGUUCAGAACGUCGCGAGACAGUUCGGUCCCUAUCUGCCGUGGGUGUAGGA